rnacentral:rRNA from 1 species
GACAGAGGUGCCAAGCGUUAGGCGGAAUCACUGGGCUUAAAGCGUGUGUAGGCGGAUGUCUAAGUACCUUGUGAAAUCCCACGGCUCAACCGUGGAACUGCUUGGUAUACUGGAUGUCUUGAGCCAUCUAGGGGCUACCGGAACAAAUGGUGGAAGCGGUGAAAUGCGUAGAUAUCAUUUGGAACGCCAAUGGUGAAAACAGGUAGCUGGGGAUGAUGCUGACGCUGAGACACGAAAAGCCAGGGGAGGCGAAACGGG